CUCCCUCGUUGCUGACCCCCAGGUUCGAUAGUACCAAUUAGGCAUCACCUCGCCAAGAACCAACUUCGAUGAAGCGACGGGCGGUGUGUGCAAGGAG
rnacentral:rRNA from 1 species